CAAAGAACUGGAGCUGUAAGAAUUGCAGUUAGCGCUCUUGACUGGAAAACUGAAGGAAGAAUGAUGUGGCAUACCACAUCUAUUUGCUGAUUGAUGAGGUCGUAAGGAAGUAGAAUGUGGAGCCAUAUAUGGUGGUGGCUGAAUAUCCUCAUUCUCUGGAGGUCAGCUCCCACAGAUUAAAAUGAAUUCAAAAUCAACUCAAGUUUUAUGAAGAUGUAGAGAGAUGAUGAAUGGACAGCAACUGUUUGAACAACUUACUUCACCUUUCAAAGAAAUGCCUGUGUCACAUACACCCUGGCAGGAUGUAAGAUGGUUACAGGAUUUGAAUGGGAUGUUACUAAGAUGAUGGAUAAUAAUACCUUGUUGUUUUGUGCAAUGGCUUUGAUCCAUCAUCAGUAACCCCCCAUGCAAUGAACUGCACAUGUAAUUGCUGGUGGAAGAGCCUGGCUCCAAAGAGCAGUGCAGUGGUGUUGACCAGGAUAACGAGUAGUUCUGACAACCAUCUGUUUACUCCUUGGUUGUUUUGAAAUCAUGCCUGUAUACUCAUUGUGUUAUUUGUUGUUGUUUAUUAGGCUUAUUGUAAAAACUAUUGUGCCUUAACAUAAAGAGUUGGUCAAAAUACUGAGAAAAAUUGGCAGCAAAUAAAACAGAUUAAAAAAUGG
ensembl:lncRNA